UCUGCAGGUUUUUUUUUUAAAUCCCCGCUGUUAUUCCAUCGCUUUGUUCCUUUUAGUUGAAUUAACCAGCAUUGAUUGUGUCUCCAUGGAAUAACAAUACACGCUUCCCCGUCAUUUCGUUGGAAAAUGUCUGCACCGGCGAUGUCAGGGCAGGUUGGGGUGGCUUCAAGGAGGAGCGUCUGUGGGUCACAGCUGCAGCCGCCCAGCAGCGCCAGCGCCCGCUUCGCCGAUUUAAUUGAAGAUAGACAGAAAAUGCUGGAGUAACCCAGCGGCACAGGCAGCAUCUCUUGAUAGAAGAAACGGGUGACCUUUCUGGUCGAGACCCUUCAUCAGACUGAGAGUCAGGGGAGAGGGAGACCAGAGAUGUGGAGGGGAUAAGAUGUGAAAACACAGAUCAAAGCAGACAAAAUGUGCAGGGAAAAGCUGCAGAUGCUGGUUUACACCGAAGAUAGGCGCAACAUGCUGGAGAAAUUCAAUGGGACAGGCAGCAUCUCUGGAGAGAAGAAAUGGAGACUGAAAAAGGAUCUCGACCCGAAACGUCACCCAUUUCUAUUCUCCAAAGGUGCUGCCUGACCCGCUGAGUUAUCCCAGCUUUUUUUUUAAUGUCUGUCUUAGAUCAAAUCAGACCAUAAUGAAGGAAAUGUAGAAUGGUUCAUUGUUGGCUGAGAGGAAGGUGACACCGAGGUGUACAAACAAUAACAUUAAUCAGGACGGCGAAACUGGUCGGAGAAUUGGGAUGGAGGGAGAGGAGAUGCAAUGGUCACUUGAAGGUAAUGAAAUGAAUGUUCACACCGCUGGGGUCCAAGCUCCCCGAGAGAAAUUACAUUAACUCCCGCGUCACCAUGGAGACCCCGGCACGCUCUCCAUCCGAAAAAUAACGGUCGGAGCUCGAGGGUCAGAGACGCGGGCGCCGCCACCUCCACACACCCACCUUGGAUUCCUGGGCAAAUCACAGCUCUGAGCAUCAGAAAACCGCAGCUGUUUCUGUUUCUAACUCAAUGUCAUUUGAGACUAUUAUUGAAUCCUCCUUUUAAAAGACAGCCAACCAGUUAGAAAACUCCUUGGAGAAGGAUCACCUGUUUUCAGAACAGAAUUCAAGACAAAAUUAAUGAACAGCCGUGACAAGAAAAACAAUGUCUCGAGGAUCAAUGAGAAAGAACAUAAAACAGAGGGGAGCAAGAGACCCAAGAAUAAAUAACUGAAUAUGUCGAGGAUCAACGAGGAAAAACACAAAACAUGGAGCAAGAGACACAACGAAAAUGAACUUAACUGAAUACAUUUUAAUAUUUAACAUUUAAAUUGUUGUAUUUUAAGUUAUUUACAUUUUAAGAUUUAAUAAAUCCCUUUUCCACUUGCAGCGCCUGUCAGCCGAUCUCUCUCUGCCCUCUCUCUCUCUCUUUGAUCUUUAUCUUUUUCUCUGCCUCUCUCUCUCUUCCACUCUGUCUGUGCACCCUCUCUC